CGUACACUCCUACGGGAGGCAGCAGUGAGGAAUAUUGGACAAUGGGUGGAAGCCUGAUCCAGCCAUCCCGCGUGCAGGAAGACGGCCCUAUGGGUUGUAAACUGCUUUUAUCUGGGGAUAAACCUACUUACGUGUAAGUAGCUGAAGGUACCAGAAGAAUAAGCACCGGCUAACUCCGUGCCAGCAGCCGCGGUAAUACGGAGGGUGCAAGCGUUAUCCGGAUUUAUUGGGUUUAAAGGGUCCGUAGGCGGACUGAUAAGUCAGUGGUGAAAUCCGACAGCUUAACUGUCGAACUGCCAUUGAUACUGUUAGUCUUGAGUAAGGUUGAAGUGGUUGGAAUAAGUAGUGUAGCGGUGAAAUGCAUAGAUAUUACUUAGAACACCAAUUGCGAAGGCAGGUCACUAAGUCUUAACUGACGCUGAUGGACGAAAGCGUGGGGAGCGAACAGGAUUAGAAACCCUGGUAGUCCC
rnacentral:rRNA from 1 species